rnacentral:ncRNA from 1 species
UACCUGGUUGAUCCUGCCAGUAGUCAUAUGCUUGUCUCAAAGAUUAAGCCAUGCAAGUCUAAGUACGAGCUCUCGUACAGUGAAACUGCGAAUGGCUCAUUAAAUCAGUUAUGGUUCAUUUGAUCGUACAGUUUACUUGGAUAACUGUGGUAAUUCUAGAGCUAAUACAUGCGAGAAGCGCCGACCUCGCGGGAGGCGUGCAUUUAUCAGACCAAAAACCGGCCGCGUCUUCGGGCGCGUUCGCCUUGGUGACUCUGGAUAACUUUGCGGAUCGCACGGUCUAGCA